UUUAUUGAAAAAUUCGGGAUA
rnacentral:piRNA from 1 species